UUGACCCCGUAACGACUUGUUCUGGGUACAGUUUUUAAAAACUGGCCAGACUUAUAGCCCCCAUUCAUUAAUGGCUAUAAUACGCCGUCUCCAGUCUUUUUACAGAAAAAGCUGGAUGAAGAUAUAGUCUAAUACAUUAAUGUAUUG
rnacentral:autocatalytically_spliced_intron from 2 species